UAAAGGAAAGAGGGGAGGAAACCAGAACGCCCUUCCUUCCUAGGUGGGCUGUCAUUCCACAGGGGCCAACACAGCUGGAGCUCAGAAGACAAGCCCUUGUGGUCCACACAGCCAGCUCUCCAGGUAUGACUGAAUUGGUGGGCUCCAGAUUCAGUGAGAGAUCCUGUCUCAAAAACUAAGAAGGCCAAGGCAGGAGGAUCACAAGUUCGAUGCCUGCAUGGGCUACAGGGUUGCUCCAUUCCAGCAUCAUUGGUCCAGAGCCUGGGAAAGCAAGAGAAAAGAAGUGGAAAGGAAGAAGGAAGGAAAGGACAGAAGGAACCCAGCACAAGCAGAGACGUAUGGCUCCACAAAAGCGCCUCCAUUUGAUCUGAUCCCGACACAUGGUACACACCUGUCGGAUGGCAGGAAUGAUCUGAGCCUGGGAGAAAUCAAGGUUGCACCCUUUGAUGCCUUGGAGGCUGCAGGCGGCUGCUUGGCUGGAGAGGGAAGAUGGAGAUGCUGUCUUUCGUCUUUGCCUCCUCCCUGAUGGCUUGACGUCCUAUCCCCAGUCCUUGGGAACUCUUUCACAUAAACAAGCCCCAUGCUCCCGGGGUUUCCUGAGGCCACUGGCUGGAUGCUAAAGAGGGCACAGAGGUCUGAUGCCAUUAAUCACCCAGACGCAGCACUAGCAGAUUCUUAACCCAGCUGAGAGCUCCCUCCCACGUGCCUGCCCGGAGAGAAUGAAUCUGUCGAUUUUCUCUCUGUGAUUCAACCAGCAGCUAAUAUUAACAUGGCUUCAAUCAUUCAGACUCCCAGAAGUCAAGGUUCUGCUGGCUUUCCUACGAAUGAGCCACCAAAUUUAGCUAGAAAUAUCUUCUAUUUAAAUAAAGACUAUGCAACCA